rnacentral:rRNA from 1 species
AGGCUCGAGAUCCCCUGCACCCGCAGCAUCCCAAGCAUCACUUCAUUACUAAAACAUCAUUCAUCGCCAGCUUCCUUCCUCCUCGCUUCCUUCCUCGCAUAGAAAACCCAAGCUGCUUUGCUCCGCUGGUCCCCUCCCUUGCCCAGCUCUUCUUCAGCCGCUUGAUCAAACCACUGGUCAGUGCCUGGCUUCUCGUUCUCGCACGGCCGCCGCUGCAUCCAUCCAUGGAGGCCGAGGACGGCAAGCCCGCCGCCGGGUACCGGCACGGGCCGCCAUGGGUGUUCAAGGGCAGCGCAUUGUACCAGCUGCAUUUGGUGAAGGCGGCGACGGCGCGGGCGUUCGUGCCCAAGGAGCUGCGCCUGGUGGAGGCCUUCGGCUACACGCUCGGCGGCAUGUUCCUGGCGCGCUACCACGACAGCCCCGCCGGACAGUUCGACGAGCUCGUGGUGAUCGCCGGCAUUGUGUGGAACCCGCCGACUUCUUGCGCUUGGGCUGCCCGGGUGCUAGUAAACAGCGCUGAAGCCUGCCGGCAUGGACGCAAGGAAGUAGGGCUUCCAAGCCAUGUCGCGGCAUUCUCACAGACCGAAGCUUCUGUGCUCAGAAAUAAACCAAACAACUUCCUCAACAUUCUCGGAAUGGGUUCAGGCUUCUCCAAGCAAGAGAAUUACCGCAGGGUCGAGAUCAAGGAGGCCUCGGGAUCGUCAUCAAGGCAUUUGUGCAACAUCAGCCUGCCGCUGAACGAAGCGUCAAGAGGAUCACAUAAACGCAACAAGUGGAUGGGUCCGGCAAUCAAAAUGUCACUCCCAAGCUUCAGCGGCCAGACAGAGGACCAUCCUGAGCUUCUCAAGUACUCCUGCAAAGUAGAGUGCAGGGUGCGGCCGGUGAGCCCAGCUAAGAUCUGGAGCCCUAAAACCGCUGAACCAGAGGAGUGUUCUGACGGCAGGAACAGCAGCACCGGAUCCGAUUCAGACGCGCAAAGGCAAAGCCUCCUGGUCUUGCUAUCCAGGCCCAUCUUGGCUCUGGAGUUCAGCUCCCUGCGGAUGCACGUCGAUGCGCCGAAAGUUGUUGCUCCGCACCCGAAGAAGAAGGAAGUUAGAUACUCGAGCACCUGAAUCUCAUAUGUCAGACCAUGGUUCAGAGUUCUGAUCUGACCAGUAGACUUGGACGCCAUUCAUCGAUCUGUUGUUCUUUCAUUUGUUCAUAGGUUGCAAGUAAGAGUAUGCAGCUGGAUACUAUGAAGCCUGCUUGCUGAAUUCAUUCAUAGUUUGGCAUAGAUUGGUUUAUAUGAGAAACAGCAACAGGGGAUACUUUUAUCAGAACAUUUGCAGUUACUAGAUAUACACGAAAAUAUGCGCGAAUUACUAGAUAUACACGAAAAGCAGCUGUUCCAGAAUUAGAUUAGCAUAUGGUCUUCAAAUUUCAGAAUAACAGAGUCACUCAUGUACCCAACGCUCAAUCCUAACAACUACAGUAAGUGUCAAACUCUGACCUUAAAUACAGCUACUCCUGAAUCGGCUUAAUCCCAUUUCGUUGCUGCUACGCUAAGAUCAGUGGUCAAAGUAGGAGAGGAGGCUAUCGAUGUCGUCGAAACCGGCAAUGUGAGGCAGAUCCAAGGCGAUGCAAGGAAGUUCCGGCAGCUCCAUGAGCCCCAGGGGGAGCGGAGACAUGGGGCAGCAGCCCACGUCCAUCUCCUCGCUGGUUUCAUCAGCGGGCGGUGGCGGCGUCCGCGGUUCCAUCUUCACAGGCCCGCUGACCGGGACCGCCGCGAUCGGCUCCUCGUUCGCGGCGUCGGCGGGCAGCGGUGUCGGUUGGGCUCGCGCUUGCACCGGCGAGCCGGCUGAGACGACGCCGGCGUGGCUCGACGAGGACCCUGCCGUGGCGCUCGCCUCGUUGACGUUGUACGCGACCAGCGGGAGGUCCCGCGCCGUGGUGGCGCUGUUCUCCUCGUUGCACACGACCAGCGGGAGGUCCCGCGCCGUGCCGCUAGUGCUCUCCUCGUCAUAGACGACCAGCGCGAGGUCCAGGCUCGUGGCGUCGGACGACGUGCUCGUGCCGCCGGUGCGGCGGCGGCGGCGGCUCCUCGCCGCGCGGGGGCGGGGGAACCGCUUUUUGAGCGUGCUGUUCCAGUAGUUCUUGAUGGCGAGGUCCGUCCUCCCGGGGAGCUCGGCGGCGAUGACGGACCAGCUGUUCGAUCAAAUGCCAACAGGAGCAGGUCAGUGAACCAGCGACGGAAUGCAACAACACUCAGCACUUGCAGAAGAUGAGGUUUGAAAAAAUUGAUCUGAGCAAUAAACCAGUGCACAUUUCAUCUGAUUAUCAAGCGGUCGAGACUGGAAAGCAGAGCAGUUGAGAUGGGUUCGGUGCGAGGCUCACUCACCAGCUUCCUUUCUUUCUGUACAUCUCGCAGAUGAUCUUGUCCUCCGCCGGCGUGAAGUUGCCGUGUUUCAGCCCCGGACGGAGGUAGUUCAGCCACCUUGAACGGCAGCUCCGGCCGCAGCGCCGAAGCCCUGCGAUCCACCAACAAACUUCGCUCAGGAAUUAUGAUUCAAAAAACAGUGGCGAGUGUGAUGAUUUGCUUAUGCGACGCUUUGCCAUGAUCAUAUCGAGAAAAAUGAGAGAGC